CUUACCAAAUAAUAUUUCACGAGGAUAAGAAGAGCUGCUGUGGGUAUCAUAUAAGGUUCGAAGUAGUAACAACCUAGAACGAACAGGAUGAGGGCCAGGAUGCUCCGCGACUUCUUUUCCCACUCCCAGCAACUCCUAGUGUCGAAGAACAUUCUUCAAGAAGAGCUGUCUCUUAAACUUGAUCUCCGGCUCCAUAUAUUUCGUUUCCUUGGGAUUGAUUGUUCUGAUGCAAGCUCUCAAAACAUUCCACACGACUGUCAUCUCCAGGAGGAUCUGUGGAGGAUCUCAGUAGCGUCCUGACUCCCUUGACGAGGAAGCCAUUCUUUCAAACCUUCAUCUCUGGAAUUUCGGAACUCGCCACUAACUCCUUCCCAGGAGCCCUCGGCGUUGUCGCCUCGUUGAUACCUGCUGCUGCCCUGGCCUGACUGGUUAUUUACGACUCCAGCGAUCCUUGCCAAUGGAUGAUGACCUAGCGCGUGCCUGGCUGGACUUUGGGUGGCUGAGGAACUUCUACUGUGCUCGCUGGAGUAAUCGGCAGCGUAAUCACGAUCAGAUUCUCCUCCAGCAAUCCUAGAGUUGGAAGUUCUAAUUGAGUCAUGAAGCUGACUCGAGGAAUCCCUCGAUUUCUUUCUCUCCUUGCUGCGACUCCUGGACCAGCGACUCUUAAGAGUCGCGAAGAAUGUAUGCGUUCUCUGCGCCACGGUCGCGUGUCGAUGAUGAUGAUGAUGAACGACGCUUGGAUGAACGUCUUGACGUAUGGAUGAAGAGGAGGACGGUUGCGUUCCCACUAAAGGGGACUCUCUACCAGUUCCAGAGUGAUCUACCAAUGAGAAUAGCCGAUUUAAAUAAACGAGCAAUCAGCUGUCUUUACAAUAUAUUUGAUUGAAAACUCACCAGAACUUGGCUCACCGUCCUCCGAACCGGCAAGCAGCUCCACGCUCUUGCUCAUCUUACUCGACGAUGCCUCUAAGAAGCUUCCGAAUCUGCCGAUACUUAAGUCGUUUCUUGAAUAGUACUAAACCACGUAUCGGUAGCAUCAUUUCCAAGAGUCACAAUUCAGGGCAUCAGGACUACGACGUUAUUCAGUAUUUUCUAAUUGAUAAUUCACUAGACCAUUUCUCAAUAUUUUUCCUGACGAUUCUAAUAUAUUAACUCCAUUGCACGAGGAUAUUUUAACCAUCCCGGACCCCGAUCGAGUACGCCAAGAGUCUACUCCGGCAUCUGUUUUCAUUUUCUACUGCCACUAUCAACCACGUCAUUCCUACUGAAGUAUCUACCGCCAUCACCGUUCUAUUGCACAUUAAUAAAACGACCCGGCUCAACUUUAUAUCGGCUGGAUCUUCAGAGACUAAGAGAAUCAGUAGAACACGGAGAUCCUUGUUGAUGAGAAGGAGGUCGAGAUGGGACGAGGAGGUGUUAUACGAUCAGAUCAAUAUGGAUACACUAUUACCUCUCGAACCAAGCGUGCCGUUAAUGAUGACCUAUUGUUAUUUAAUUAUUUACACGCAGAGUACGGAUGCGUAUUAAUCAUGUAGUAAUGCGUGCACGGAUGCGACAAUACUUUCUACAUUAUCGCAUGAAUGCCCACCGCUAGUAUAAUAUCAAAUCAUCUUGCUCAAUCUCUUCAGUUCACUGACACUUCACCACUGCACACGCGCCUCAUGCAUUAACGCCAAUUAUAUCCCUUUUCCGAACCGAUCAACUGGAGGAAUCACCUUUUGCCUUUACGUUCGCAAUCGCACGUGUUCGCCGUCCUCUUGUACUCCAGCCUGCUCUACUCCGACGUCCGAGCGGCCACUGACAGCUGCCAUUGCUUUACAGCACGCCUACGAAUAGAAGAGAAUCGCGCAAUGAGAAAAAGAGAAUGAAAACGUGCGAGCGAGAAAGAGAGACCACGAGAAAGAGAGAGAGAGAGGAGCUAGCAACGAGGAGGUCAAAGGAAGGAGUACGAUGGCGGUAGGGAGUCACUAUCGACCCAUGUGCCUACACACCACGUUCCGUGAAUUUCAUAUGGUUUUACCUUUUUCCAAGAAAUUUUUAUCCAUCCACUCGUUUCUCCCUCGUUACGUUCUUUGGCUUUUUCUCUGCGCCCCAGACAGCAUCUACAGGGAAUACCAUCAAUUAGAAAAUAUAACGCAAGAUUAUAUAUAAUUAAUUUAGUAUUGAAAACCGUGUUGCUUGGACAGGUUGAAAAGAUCCCGCCUAAACUCACGGAUUUCAAUCGACAAAAAUAAUUUUUAAAAUCAAUCGUAAUACUCUACAAUAUGCUGCUUGUUCUAUUCUUUCAGCGGGAAACUACACCACAGAAAUGUGUGGUGCACAGCUUCCCUCGUAUUUAUAAAACUUGACAAACAUAUUAUCAACAAUAUGAAACGAGGCUGUACAUUGUUCGUUGCGUGCUAUUUGUCUGCUUGAUGUUUUUCAGCACAGCGAGAAUCGCAUCGCGUGUUUCAUAAGGGUGGAACCGAGGCACCUCAUGUCACGUUAUGACUACAUUAUAAUAUUACAUUACAGUAGGUUACUUCACGUGAGAUUAUUUUAAGUUUUUUAGAGCGAGUAUUGGCGAAUGUUACAAACAGACGUAAUAACAAUGAAUUUUAUUAGGCAAUGUACAAAAUAUCUUUAGCAUACACGGUAUGCAUUAAAACGGAUAUAUAACUAUACAUAUAUGUAUCUAUACAGAAACGUCCUGUGUUCUUUUCAAGACAUACGACAAAUUAAUGGCCGCCAGAAAGAAAAUUAAAAACAUCUGAUUGGAUCUUACAUAA